rnacentral:rRNA from 1 species
GAUGAACGCUAGCGGGAGGCCUAACACAUGCAAGCCGAGCGGUAUUUGCUCUUCGGAACAGAGAGAGCGGCGCACGGGUGCGGAACACGUGUGCAACCUGCCUUUAUCUGGGGGAUAGCCUUUCGAAAGGAAGAUUAAUACCCCAUAAUAUAUUGAGUGGCAUCAUUUGAUAUUGAAAACUCCGGUGGAUAGAGAUGGGCACGCGCAAGAUUAGAUAGUUGGUGAGGUAACGGCUCACCAAGUCAAUGAUCUUUAGGGGGCCUGAGAGGGUGAUCCCCCACACUGGUACUGAGACACGGACCAGACUCCUACGGGAGGCAGCAGUGAGGAAUAUUGGACAAUGGGUUAGCGCCUGAUCCAGCCAUCCCGCGUGAAGGACGACGGCCCUAUGGGUUGUAAACUUCUUUUGUAUAGGGAUAAACCUACUCUCGUGAGAGUAGCUGAAGGUACUAUACGAAUAAGCACCGGCUAACUCCGUG